rnacentral:lncRNA from 1 species
UUUUUUUUUUUUUUUUUUUUUGCUGUCUUCAGUUUCUCAUGAAGGCGAUAGAGUGGGGCCAUGGAGGUGGAUGGUUAAAGAUUAAAAUAUAUAGUACCACAAGUAGUACUGUAUAAGAUUUAGAUUUGUUGUGAAGAGUCAAAGGGAGCAGUGAAAGGGGGCAGUUAUUAGAUGCGAGGAGAGACUUAGGAGGGACAGUUUAGAUCUGCUGUGGAAGCGGGCUUCAGUUACCGUCCCCGCCCGCGUGGACUCUCCAAAUUUUGGAUGUUUUGACUUUUUUGAUUUCUUCUUCUUCUGCGUCAUCUUCCAAUCUGUUCUUUGCUUUGCUUUGCUUGUAAGUUGUAAGCACUACGUUUAUUUGUACACCCCCCAAAAAACAAAAAACAAAAAAAAAAUUCCAACUAAGGCAUAUGCAAUGUGUGUCCAACUAAAAAUGCUUUUCGGUGAAUCAAUUUUAUAUAAAAUUUUUGUUACUAAAGCAAAUGGUGGUAUUUUAACCUUUUUUUUUUUUCCAUCAAAUGAUAGUUAUUUUAGUAGUUUCAAUACUUACUAUCAGUCGAUCAUUUUGUCAAGAUGUGUUUAGAUGAGUUUUGGUUAAAAAUAAUCAAAUUUAGUUAUUUUAGCAUUUUGUGUAAAUAGUGAGUAAUUUUCAGGAAAGUAAAGUUGAAAGUAUAUAAAGUGACAAAAAAAAUAUUUAUCCCAAAACUCCAUCUCUUCCUUUAUAUAUAUAUAUAUAUAUAUAGAGUAUAGAUUAAUAUAUUGGUUUAACAUGGGGCAUUUAACCAUCUUGCUCUUUUCCAUAAAGGUUUGCAAAAAGACUUGCUUUAUUUUUUGGAUAAAUCUUCUUGAGUUUGAGACUAAAUUAUUUGACUAAGAAGAUUCUGCUCAACAAAACCCCCCCCCCCCCCCCCAACAAAAAAAAAAGAAAAAAAAAAAGAAUCUAAACUCUUGCAUUACAGAAUUGUGGAAAGAAUACAUCCAUGCGUACGGCCGUAUUCUGCAUGCGAAGAGAUGUCAGUUUAGCAUAGGAUGAAAAUCACAAUCAGCUUUUGCAAAUUACAUAAAUAUUAGAAAAAACUAAACAAAAGAAGGAAAAUGUUUUAGCGACGUGUCCGGAGUUGACUACUUAGCCAAUCAUUUCCAUUUAGCAUAUUACGUGUAAUUUAAACCAUAUCCACAACACCCAACUUCAAGCUUACACCAUUUUUUUCAAAAAAAAAAAUCCUGAAUAACUUGAAGCUGUCAAGGGUUCUCAAUUCUCAAAGACGUACGUACUAACAAACAUGUUGACCUUAUUCAGAUGCCCGCUCUGCUACUGCUACAUAUUUAGCUGCGUAUUCAUUUGUUUUUUAGUCAGCGAAUUGGAAAUUAUUAUUUUAUUCCGGCGGAGGAAAAGGAGUGGGAGUAGUUUAGACCAGUCUAGUCUAGAUAAUGUUCUAAUAAGUAGUUUUAUGGAGGAAUCAUUCUAAGCUAAGCAUUCUCGCACUACAUAACACCUAUUUUUUCUGCAUAGUUAGUAUUCAACAUCUAUUAUUUUUGUAUUACUCCUAUAAAAGAAUGCUUAUGCAUUUUCCAUAAUUCUACGUGGUGAGAGAAGAAGUCACAAAUUGAUUAUAAUUAUUAUAAGAAGGGAUGAAGGGGAAUGGAAGUAUGUAUAAAAGUUUAAUGCAUAUUUUUGUACUUGAAGAAAAGUCCUGAAAUCCAAUCAAAGUUGCCCCAUGUGACAUCGACGCGCCACGAUCACUAAACAAAUACACUACUCAUCAAAUUAAUUAAUGAUCCUUGGCCCCAAAAUGCUAAACAUCUAAUUCCAUCUCUAAGCACACCUAUAAAUUGCUCCUCGCUGAGUUUCUAACGUAAUUGCACCAAACCAUCCAUUUGUUUAAGCAGGCUGCAAUAUAUCAUCAAAUUCAAAGGGUUCUCUUCUUCUUUUCUUUUUUUUUUUGUUUCCUCUUUUUAAUUUUUAAUGUGCCCGGGUGGAAGGGUAAUUAGUAGUGGGAGGAGUUUAAUUGCGGAUGGGAUUGGGAGGUUAGUGGCUUAGUGCUUUGACCUUUUCAGUUCCAACCUUCCUAUUCGUCCAUAUUACAGCUUCACUUUUCAGUGAAAUGACCACUAAUCAAGCGACUAGUGCUUAAAAGUUAUGCACAACCAUAAUUUGAUGGUAGAAUGAUACUAGCAUCAAUGGAAAUCAAUCUCGAUUAUUGUUCCUGAGCUAUGAAGUCACGUGUCAAGUAAUUGUUGGACCAAUUAGUGGCUGAUUUGGUAAAUUAAUCAGCCAGCUCGUUCUUUCACUGUAUCCCGGCUUCAAGUGGUCCAUCAAACUGUGGGACAUUUAAACACAAAUAAGAUAAAUAAAAAAUAAUCAUGCUUUUGCUAAUAAGAUGGAGUAGUAAAAAGUUGUGAAUUGUAGAGAGAAUAUAAUCACCAUACGGACUUCCCGAUGCUGCCCAUGAAGGCGCUGUUACAAAUAAGCUGCUUUCAUCUGGCCAAUCAUUUCCGUUUAGAACAUUAGAUGUAAUAUCAACAAACAUGUUGACUUGUUCAGAUGUUUGCUACCAUAUACCUAGCAAUUUCCAAAACUUUUUUGCCUGCUUGAUGAUUAAUUCAUACUAGACUAGAUGGUAAUGUCCACUUAUAGAGUAUCAAACAUCAAACUUAUAGCAUUGCUUUUCUGAUUGAAUUCCAAUCAACAUUAUGCUGCAAGUAUGUAUGAACGACAUAUAUCUAGUGUUACAAAAGAAUGCUUAUGUAACUAUCAUAAGGGAACGGAAGUCACAAAUUGAUAUCAUAAUAGUUGAAGUCAUAAUGACCACUUUAAUCAAAGUAUUUAAUCAUUAAAAAUAGUAAAAGUUAGCGGAUGAAAAGUGUCACUGUAAGGUGGUUAGGAGAGGAUUCUUAGAGCGCUCUCUACUGUCAGGUUUAAAAUUCAAAUCUUGUUUCUGACAGUUGAGAAAGGAAAAUGCGUGAAGAAAGGUAUUUAAAAAAAUGUGUGGAGGGGGGUGAGAAUAUAUUUUUGAAAAAAAAGUGUCACUACAAGGUUCUUAAGAAAAAUUAGCCCCAAUUAAUUAUUGAAGGGUACAAAUUAACCCUAUCACGUAGGUAUUGAAAAAAAAAAAAACUAUUCAACCAACAAGAAUUGUAAUUUCUGGAAUUCAUAUUAAUCACCAACCCCCUAAAACAAGUGGUUACAAAUCAAAGAUCCAAACAAGACCUCAAAUGAUUAACCACAUUGAGAGAUAAUAUUAUUAUUAUCUAAAUGAAUCUUCUACUGGUGGAAUGAUAGAGAAAAAUGAAGUCCCUCUCUCUCUCAAUGUUCAUCUUCAUGUUCAACGUGCUGCAGGGUGCAGUGUAACGUCUGUCUGUGUUUCAGAUGGAUUUAGUAAAAGUAUCCAGAGAGAAAUGCGUACAACAAAUUCCAAAAUUGUAGGUGGAAAUUUUAAAGUGGAAAAUAAAACAGUGAUAACGAUCAAAAUUGAGGGUUUCCAGAGAACAAAAAACCUUUGUUAUUCAAUAAAUACAAAAAGUUACUUGCACUUCAAGAGAAUCACCAACCUUCAAUUCCCACCAAUUAGUCUUGUUGGAUUCGCCGUUGUGCAUUUAAAAAUAAAAUAAAAAAGAAACGUAUUUCUCUCUCUCUCUUUUUUUUUUUCCUUCCACAAAUAUAACCGAACAUAAAAAUUCAAAUAUACCCAUGUCAUUUUCCAUUAGUCUUGUACUAGAUGUCGAGGAAGGACUUAGCAUGAGCACAAAAGGAAACAAAAUGCGAAUAAGGAGAUAAGAAGAUUAUUUGAGGGAUCAUGUAAGUUUAUGAAAUAAAUAUUCCUUCUUUUUUUUUUGCCUUCCUCUAAGAGAGGAGGCCAAAUGACAAGACAAGAAUCCAGUUGCCAUUUAUGGCAGGUCAUAAACAAUUUCACAGAGCCGAUAAAUAAUGCCUGGAAUUAGUGUGUUUGAUCUUUGCUGAAAGAAAGAAAGAAAGAAAGAAAGAAAGAAUCAAAAGUAAAUGGUUUCCUGAUAGGAAUCACAUGCAGCCGGUGUUUGUGGGCCAAACAUGAUCGAUUGCCACUCGAUUACAGACAAAGCAACAAUGUCACUGUUACAAUAACAUUUACGUCCAAAUUCCACACAACAACACGCUUCUCCACCUGCUCAAUUGCUCCCAUAUUUCCAUUUUCCAUUGACGAUUAUUGGACUAAGAGCCCCACACCACAUGCACCAACAUUUUUCACUUUUCCUUUCUUUCUUUCUUUUUUUUUUGGUUUUCUUUUCUAGUUGGAAUGGAAAGAUAUGUUCUGUAAUUGCAGUCGGAUUUGAGCAUGUGCAUGUUAAUUUCGAUCGUGGGAAAAGCAAAAAAAAAAAAAAAAAAUUCAUUCAUUUUGUCGAGCAUAAGGAUUGAUCAAAUCUGGUAGUUGAAGCUGUUUUUCUGGAUCGACUGUUAAUUCUUUCUUUUGAUCAUAAGGAUUAAUUCUUUCUUUCUCGACAUGGAUUGAUAGCUACACGAUAUACUCGACUAGGAUUUUGAUCAUCUGCGCCUCAUUCUUUCGGGCAAAGGCUUGGUGGGAAUCGGCAGUUUAUGGGUCGUGUUGAAUAGAGAUCACAUGCGUGGUCCAUGAGGGAGAAGGGGACCAUAGCAUAGCAUAGCAUUGAUUUACAACUUUUAUAACAGAGGCAGCAUACUGAUACUAUUGACGCCGUUAUUAGUGGGUAUCAUCAUUAUCAGUAUUGUGAAAUUUUUUGUUUUUGUUUUCUUGACCAAAGUAAGAAAAUCAAUUUGACUGUGAAAAAUGAAAAAUAAGAAAGAAAUGAGAAAGAAGGAAUCUCGUACCAUUUAUUCUCCACCAUGAUGUUGCUGUCAAAAAGCUUGACAAAACGUACGUAUUAAAUUGGUUAGAUUAUUGUUUACUGCGGACGCUUCUACUUUUCGCUAUAAAACCAGUGACAGUAGUAGUAUUAUGAAGAUAAAUUCUCCACUUAAUGGCGAGAAAGCAAUUGUUUAAGAUUGUGAUCUCAAUAAAAGACACGAUCAAAAGCUAUCAUUUAAUCUCAUGAGUUUUGGAAACGAGGAAUUGCAAGUAGAGAGUUCUGGGUUCGUUCAAGACGUUCUGCUUACCGGGGGAAAAAAAAAAAAAGGCUCAUGAGCUUUAUAUCAUUUCCAAAUCCAAAAUCCGAGUGGCUUUCAUCAUGAUGCUAAGGUUAAAGAGGACAAGAUUAAUUUGAUUAUUGUCUAAUCCAUAGGUAAUCAGACGAUGUUUUAUUUUCUUUGCCCUGAUGGAAUGAGUUAGCGCAUCUUGAUGAUGAUCCAUCAUCCACUUGCUCGGAAUAAAAAGUUGCAGAGUCUUGGCAAAAACUAAUUGGGCUGACACAAUGAACACUUAGGCCUACAUUUCUUGGACAUUGACAGCCCAGAAGAACAAUUAGAGUUCCGGCUGCUUGAAACUGUCACCCCAAGGGCUUGCCCAUAUCAAUCCUGCACAGCGGGACUAGGAAACCACGCUUUCAGGAUUUCAACUUCCAAAAAGGCUGUUCCGGACCCACGCCUUAAGCAGCAGUUUAUUAUAUUCAAGGAUUAUUUGACCAUUCAUUCCGAUAAGUGACAAACCUAUCUAUGACUCCAGCUGAAACGGCCGACGGAGAAGAGAAAGCGAAGAGAAAGGGGAAAAGAUUUUCAUAUUUCUCUCUGAUAACUAGAGGUUAGGAUUAUCAUCUUAAUCCGCUGAUUAACCCUAAUCUCAAUGAUAUAACGCAUGUCCUCGGGUGCUUAAUUUUAUUGUUUUCUUAAUUGGAAAUAAUUUUACCUAUUUGUGUUUCUUAUGAUUUGCAAGAGAUAUAUACUUGUCGUUGAAACUACAUGUACUAUUAAUUGGGGCUCUGCUUGAUUGGAAUCGUUUUAGUCUCAGCUGAGGUCUUUCUUUCUCUAAUUCAAUUUGUUCUUCCUUUUUUUUUUCUUUUUUUUUUUUGUUGCACUUUUUUGCUUUUCUCUUGAUGACUAUGUAUCCCGCCAAUUAUGAGGGAAAUUUCCACAAUUUGGUGAAAUAACUGAUAAUUUGUAUCGGGUUUUCCCUUAUGAUUCAAUUUGUAUAGUUUAUUAUUACCAUUCACGGAUCAAAGUCAGUUCUUUAAAGUGGCUGGAUUACAGUUGCUUUGCCGAGAUGUGGUCUAUUUCCAUAUUAUGGGUUCGUUUCAUAGACAUGGAUUCAUUGGAUGACAUGACUGAUCAUGGAUGAGUGAAUGAGGAUUAAUUUCGGAGUAUUAGGCCCUGUAAAUUGUAUUUUUUUUCCUUUUUCUUUUUCUUGCUGUCAUUUUGUACUCAAUUUACCAAAAUUACCAGUAAAAAGCCAAUGUCUUAGAUAAAAAUUUGAUUGUAUAUUGGUUCUGAUGCUGAUUUUCUCCUCGGGAGUACUUGUAGCUGAUGAUGAUGACGUAUUGGUUAUGCACUAGUUUGAUGGUUUUGCUUGCUUUCUGUCUGCUAUGGCGAGUGGUACUCUGGUUAGUCAAUCGCAAAUAAGCUUGAAAUGUGGUCAUGGACUCGUGUGGCUGAACUGUUCUUUUCUAGGUGUCUGAUGUAGAAUGUGAAUCUUCUUUAUGAAGUAAAAGUGAUUCUAGCUUCUAAGUUGGGAGUUCUUGUACUAGGUCCUCAGUGUGCAAGAUUAGUGAAGCUAGUCUAGUGUCAUCUUUUACAUGUUCCGUUUUAUGGUUUUUGGCGGAUUCACUGAUGCUGAUCAUUUUGAAGUUUGUUUUGGGUAAGAAAAGAGGUUCUGGAACUUAUGUAAAGCUGCGAUUUUGUACAUUCAUUUGCUGCCUUGCAACUAAGCAUUCCUUCUUUUACAUGUUCUGUUUUGAGGUUUUUGGUGGAUUCACUGAUGCUGAUCAUUUUGAAGUUUGUUUUGGGUAGGAAAAGAGGUUAUGGAACUCAUGUAAAGCUGUGAUUUUGUACAUUCAUUUGCUGCCUCGUAACUAAGCAUUCCUUCUUUUUAUUGUGGAUUUGGCUUGAUUAAUGCUCCUUGUCACAUCUUGCCACUUUCGAUUUAACUAUGCUUACUUGAAUGACUUCCUUGGAUUAAGAUUCCUACAAGGAUCCCAACCAACAUUUUUUUGGCACUUCUGAAUUUUUUCAUUGCCAUCAAGCUUUUCCUUUCUUUUUACCUGAUAAAAGUAUUUUUUUUUUAAUUUACUUUUGAAAAAGCUUUUCUCAUUCUUUCUGUCUUCCCUGUUCCCCUCUCUAUUUGAUCUUAGGAGUUCCUUCUAAUGGAGAUCCGAAGUUGACCAAUUAUCGGUCUUCUGCUCAAUAUGAUGGAUAAAUUGGAUACAAAACAGGCAGAACUAGGCACAAAUUGGGAGAGGUCAUUUCAUCUAUAUGAAACUGUGAUUGCAGGUGAUGAAAAAUCUAAGCGUAUCCAAGCCACCUUCAAGCUUGGGCGCAUGUCCAAACAUGCACCUGAAAAUAUUUUAGCUUGUGCCAUACCAGUCCUUGUGGAGCUUCUCAGAAGCCCAUUUGACAAUCAGACUCCAUCCAUUCACGGAGCAUCUGCCUACUGCUUAAAAUGCAUUGCUUGCUUAGGGGAAGGUAGAUUGGCUGUAAUCAUCGGCCAGUGUGGGGCAAUUCCUUCCUUGUUGAGCUUAUUACAAGCUUCAGAAAGCAACCUGCAAAUGGUUAUUUUGAAAUGCCUUCGCAACAUGGUGACUUUCAGUGAUAGUAAUCGCCCGGCUGUAGUUAGAAAUGGUGGUUUGGAAAUUGUUCUCAAUAUGUUAAAUGCUAGUCCUGACGGAUUAAAAAGGCCUUUAUUGGAAAUUUUGAGUGCAUUAUCUCUUUUGAGAGACGUUAGAAGGGUUAGAAGGGUACUUCUCAAUUCAGGUGGCCUUCGUUUUCUUAUUGAAUCAGCAAAGUGUGGCAGCAUGGCAUCUAGAACUAGAGCUGCUCAAGGGAUUGGGUUGCUGGGAUUGGUUAAAAGAGCCAGGCGUACACUUGUUAAUUUUGGGGCAGCGGCAGCACUCCUGGACUUGAUUCAGAAUGGGGAUACUUCAGCUAAAUUGGUAGCUGCUAAUGCACUUGGUGUGAUUUCAUCGCACGUUGAUUAUAUUAGACCAGUUGCUCAAGCUGGAGCCAUCCCAGUGUAUGCUGAGAUUCUCGAGGGAUGUGAACCAUUAGGCAAGGAGAUUGCGGAGGAUGUGUUCUGCAUAUUGGCUGUAGUUGAAGAAAAUGCUGCUCCAAUUUUUCAGCACCUGGUUAGAAUCCUAAGAGGAAGUAAUGAUGAAGCUAAGGCAGCAGCGGCUGAUAUUACAUGGCAUCUGGCAAGUUACAAGCAGUUGGUGGCUGUCGUGCAGGACUCGGGUGCAAUUCCGGCGUUAGUUGAGCUCCUGAGGAGCGGUAAUGGUGAUGUUAAGGAAAAGGUUUCUGGGGCCAUUGCCCAAUUCAGUUACAAUAAGUCUGGGAGAGUAGCUCUUGCUGAUUCAGGAGUGAUUCCAUUGCUUAUUCAGAUGUUGGAGGAUGAGUCUCAGGAACUGAGAGAAAAUGCUGCUGAAGCACUAGUCAAUUUUUCAGAGGAUCCAUCACUAGGUGAUAGAGUAUCGUGUGUGUUGGAUAGUCCUUUAUUUCAGGAUACGCAGGAUAAACUGAUGCAAAUUCGUGCCUCUGAUGCACGCUUGGAUUCAUCUUUGAGACUGUUGAGCAUCGAACACCUCACUUUGGAUCCUAGCCUUUCCUAAUUUUUGUCCUUUAAAGGAUCUCUGUAAAUCGAGUUGCAAAUUGGCAACGCAUGUACAUAUUCAGUAAGAGAAUGUCGGUCGUCUACAACCCGUUUUGGCAAUCAAAAAAGAUGAAUGCUUGUUCAAGACAGUUUGUGCAGUUUUUCCUUGUCCAUCCUGCGACCGUCUCUAACUAGGGAUAGACCAAUAUAUGUUGUCAUCUUAUCUAAGAUUUUAAAUCGUUCUUUUUCACUUUCCUCUUGACUCAAACAGCGUCCGAAAGACCAAAAAAGUAAGAGAGAAUCAUUGCACUUUCAAAAGAACCCCCCUCCAUUCGAUCGUUGCAAAAAAAAAAGGGAUUGAAUACGCAAACGUUUGCGCACUUUGUCGGCCACAAAUAAAAAAUUUUACAAAUAAGGUUGCUGUAUAUGCGAAUUUGCAUGCAUGGCCGGCAUUGAAACUAGUAGCACAUUUCUUUUCUCAGAUGACGGACUCACAUUUAGUUAGAGUAUAACAGCAAACAACUUUGGCAGGGCCUCCUAGGUAAUAAUCCACAACUCUCACACCAUUAGAAAUGUUUUCGACCGACUGUCAAUCCAGCAGGAAAAAAACAAAUUUAGUCUAAGAAAAUACUAAUGUCAUUUUACUGGAAGUUGUCAUUUAUUUGCACCUAAUUACAAAGAUGGAAUAAAUUGUAGAGAGAGAGAGAGAGAGGGGUCCCGGGGUGGUGGGAUGUUUGUAAUGAUGUGCAUUUUCAAUAGAUUUGGUUGUGGGAAUUGGUGGUAGGACGAUGGAGACAGUUGAGAUAAGAAGAUUGAAUUUCAGUUGGCAUUUUCACUUCUUUGUAACGAAAAUGCAACGAAGUUGUGUUAAGCUUGACGUUAAAAAACAAGAAAAAGAAAAAAAUUGACUAUAAGGGCCACGUGAGGAUGGAUGGAAGUAUGUGUUCAUUUUUCUCCUGGCGGCCGACUCAUUAUCGCAGUCCUCUGCAAAGGUUACAGACAAUUGCUGCUCGUAUUCCUGGUUGAUAUAUCAUUGAUAAUGAUCAAAUUACUGAUUGAUGUGCAGAAGUUGCCACAUUGUAAAAUGCCAGCCGGCGUCCUGAUCGCUCCGGUGCCACCCACCCACGUAAGACUCGACGUCCACUGGCUGGCUGUUUUUUCUAAGCAAUUUCAUUUCAUGUUGAAAUGCUUUUCUGAAAAUCUUUGCUCCUCUGGUGCCAUGAGCCAAGUAAGCUGGAUCAAGAGAAGGAGAAAGAAGAAGAAGAAUAAUAAUAUCGAGUUCCAUUCCAAGAUGAAAAUGCACGGAAGGACACCAGCAGUGGGAUCGGAGUCAGCUGUGUUUUGACUAUAUUCUCAAUAGACCAAUCGCAUGAUAGACUGCUGGUGGGUCAUCCUCCCAGCAGCACACCAAAUUACUAGGAAGAGAACCCAUUUUUGUCUCGUCAUACAAGGAAAGAUAUUGCUCAAAUUUCAAUCCAUGCUAUUUAUGUUCCCAAACCAAAAAAAAAAAAGAAAAAAGAACCUAUCUCUUUAGCUGUCAAACCUUCACUGCACUAUCCUAAGUUAGUUAAAACGGCCUUGGAUUUUUUUGGCACAUUUGGUUCAAGAACUAAUUUAGGACUAAUUAGAAUUUAGGCCACAAGUUCAAGCACACCCAGAAAACAAGUCCAAAAAAAAAAGGACUAAGUUAUUGACUAUGUGAAAGUUAGGAAUAAAAUCAAAUUAUAAGUAUUUGAGUCGAAACUUUUCAAACUAAUAAACAAUAACCAUAAUAAUCAAAAUAAAUAAUAAAUAGUUAUUCGCUCCGUUCCAUAAAGAUAGUCCUUUUCUAAAGAGUAGUUAGUUUGCUACUUUACUAACACGCCCGUAUUUAAUGUACAUAGUUAUUAGCAAAUGCCCUACUCCAUUAGUUGAUUAUUCUACUUUGAAUAUUAAAUACAACACUAACAACUACUUUGAUUUACCAUUUUUGUAAGAUAUAGCAAACGUGUGUCUCUUAUUUUGAAUGAAUGAUCUAAUAUUAAUAAGAGGUAUUUGAGGAAAGUAUAAAAUAAAAAAUAAUUAUUGUAACUACGUUAACUAAAUUUCUUAAUCUGUCUGAAAAAAGAGACGGAGGGACUAUAAUAAAUGACAUUUGAGGUUAACUUGAUUGAGGAGGUCACAAAAUAACGAAGUUUAACGAACCUGUCGUUAGUCACUGAAACUUCGAGGAAUACAUGCACAUAAUUUCCAAGAGAUUCUAGCCAUACUCAUUUGCUCAACAUCACUUGCAUAUGAUCAUCCUUAUAACUUGUUAAAAACCAAACAGCAGUACAUACCCCUCAUGAGCUCCAUUCCUCUUCAUUUCCUUUUCCCUAAGAACCUCAUAGAGAUGGAGUAGCGCUGUUUUUACUUGUUACAGGAAGCCCAAACUCUAUUGCUAGCUACUUUGUCUUUCCAGUCCCCACAUUGGUGCCAAGUGCUAUUCAAAUGUACAUGGGAUGGCCUAUGAAAAUUCUAAAAGCAAAAUCUUGCAAAAGUACGAUCACGAGCACCCCUAACAUUCCGAGUGGAUCCCAUCUUUCAAUAGAAAUUGGGGACACUUCUGUUCGGGAUCCCGUCCUGUCCUCAUCAGCUGGUAAAAAUCAAAAUGAGCAAGAUCAAGUUGAUAUGCCGUAUUUCUCUGUUAGUCCAGAAAGACUAGCAGAACUUGUCGAGAGCAAUGGCCUGAACUCUCCUGAUCAUCCUCGUCCGACAAUCCAAGAAAUCGCUGAAGCUUUGCGAACCAGCAUUGAUUCUGGUAUAACAGGAGACGAAAAAGAUCUUGAUUGCAGAAUCAAAACGUUUGGUUCAAACCAAGAAUCAGACAACCAACCCAAACUUGGGACUAAAGGCUUAAACCGGCUAGUCUUGGAAGCUUUCAAAGACGGCACGAUUAUCCUCUUAGUGUGUUGCGCAAUUCUUUCUCUCGUGAUUGAUGUCAAGAGAUAUGGUCCAGAAAAAGCAUUCCUUGAUGGAGCAAUCGUUUGUCUUGCGAUGUUUGUUGCUGUCAACUUUGGCCAUAUCUUUAGAUUCUUACAGCAAAAACGUCUUCUCAAAAAAUCACAGAAGCACCAAAAAGGUGUUAAUGUUGUGCGCCGGGGAAAGAUGCAGGAAAUACCAGCUUCUCAAGUGGUGGUGGGUGAUGUAGUCUUGUUGGGGACUGGUGCUCAGGUCCCUGCUGACGGAUUAUUCAUUGAUGGAUCCUCAUGCAAGCUUGACGAUGGUUUGUUUGAAAGAGGGGCAAACUAUGCCAGCAUGUUUACGGGUGCAAAGGUGGUGGAAGGAAACUGCCGGAUGCUCGUGACAUCAGUUGGGAAAAACACAGAAAUAAGCAAGUUGAUUAAUAUGGUAUCAGUCGGCAAUCAAAGAAAGCUCAUGGAUUCCAAGCUGCAGGAUGGUAUUGACCGAUUGAACUCUCGUUUGGAGAAGUUAUGGUUGAGCCUCUCCUUAUUGAUUCUCAUGGUGCAGGUGCUUAGAUGUUUCGUGUGGAAAUGUGCGUGUGAUGAAAGUCAUAAUCCAGACCCCAAGGGCGUAAAGAACACGGUGGAAGAGAUAGUCGAUGAAUCAACAAAACUCUUGAAAAAGCAAGGUGGAAAAAUCAAUGGAUUGGUGAGUAUGCUCUGCAUUCUACUCUUUGCAACAAGAGAUGGCUUGCCCCUAGGGAUUUUCAUUUUGUUCUUCGUUGUAUCAAAGAAAAUGAAGUUUUUCAGUGCCAUGAUUCAAAAGCUUUCUACAUGUGCCACACUUGGCUUGGUAACAACAAUUUGUCUUACCAAGACCAGUGAUUUAACCAUGAAGCAUGCAGAAAUGGCCGAGGUGUGGAUUGGACUUAACCACAUCAAAGAUAUUUCUCAAGAAAUAAGUGGCCAAGUCCUCGGGAAAUUGCAGGAAGCUGUUUGCAUGAAUUCUUCCGGGGGUCAAAUCGAGGAUUCUCUCCUUUAUUGGGCUCAACAGGUGCUUGAUGCGGACGUGGAUGACAUGUACAGAAACAGUGAAAUCCUUCACAAUGGACCCGUUGAUCGUGAGAAGGAUCAAAACUUACUGGUUCUGAAGAGGCUUGAAGAAAAACAGGAAAUCUUGGAUCUCCACUGGAGAGGACCUCCAGAUUGUAUACUGCCUCGGUGUUCUAAAUAUUACGAAGCAGAUGGAACCAUGCAGGCCCUAGACGAAGGAAAGAGAGCCAUGUUCGACAAGAUAGUUGAACAAAUUGCAUCUUCUAAUCUCCCGAGCUUUGCUUUUGCUUGGGAGAAACUGAUACCUGAGGAACCAGAAACUCCAAAACCGGAGAAGGAAGGGUAUCUUGAUGAUGAGAAAACCCUACAGGUUGAUCAUGGAUUGACCUUGAUUGGCCUCGUGUACUUGAAAAAUCCGUAUCCACCUGAGGUAAGGCAGGCAAUCAAAGCUUUGCGGGACUUGGGAGUGAAUACCAAGUUACUGGUGGAUGACAAUCCAAAGGCAGCAAGGAUCAUGGCCAUUCACUCUGGAAUCUUGAGGCGUGAAGAUGACAGCGAAUUAACUGUCAUUGAUGGCUCAGACUUUCGGAACAUUUCCGAGGAAGUUCGCAUGAACAUGAUCGAUAAAAUCCAAGUGAUUGCAAAUGCCUCCCCUGCCGAUAAACUCCUAAUGGUGCAGUGCCUGAAAAAGAAGGAUGAGGUGGUGGCAACCGUCGGUUCAUGUAUAAGAGACUUUCCAUCUCUUGUGAAUGCUGAUGUUGGAAUUUUCAUGGGAGAAAAAAAUGCAGAAAUAGCGAAAGACUAUGCGGAUAUUGUUGCAGGGCUGAGUAUUGCUACAGUUGGUAACAUCUUAAGGUUGGGAAGGUAUGCAUGUCAAAGUAUUGAAAAGUUUCUGGAAUUGCAUUUGACUCUAAAUAUUUCUGCCUUCACCACAAAUUUGAUAUUUGAAGCUUCCUCAAUUGAGGUGCAACUUUCUUCGAUUCAGCUCCUUUGGACAAACUUAAUCGUGGAAGCUCUCGGAGCAUUUGCUUUGGCGGUAUUGAUGGUAGAAAUGGAACCAUCAAAAAGCACUCAAAGUCAAGGGAAGGAUAGGAAGAGUCCACCACCGGUUUUCGGUGCCGGUCCAGUUAUAACCAAGACCAUGUGGAGGAAUAUAGUCAUCCGGUCUAUGUUUCAAGUCGCAAUCUUGAUGGUCCUAGGGAUGAAAGGGAAAGAUAUGCUUCACAUUGACGAAGAUGUGCUGGAAACCAUGAGCUUCAAUUCUUAUGUUAUGUGCCAAGUUUUUACAUUGAUUGCAGCCAUGAAGGUAACUAAGAAGACCAUUGGUAAUAUUUCGCGGGGGGAAUUCUCGAUUGAGAAUUUGUUGUUCCUUGCGGUUGCGGGGAUGAUGCUGGCUCUGCAGAUGCUUCUCAUUGUGAUCAUGGUUGCUGUUGCUCACUGGGGAAGCUUAAAUUUCAAAAGAUGGUGGAUCUGUAUUGGGCUUGCAGCGUUAUCUUCUCCCUUAGCUUCUGCUGCAAGAAGGGGUUCUGAUUUGGUGUUACCAUGCAACUGAUCUCAUCACGCAAUCGUGCACUGUACAUAGUUUAUUUUCCUUCAGAAGCACGAAACUCGAAACUCUCUAAAUAAAAAUUGGAACUUGUCCAAACAUCUUUGAGACAAAAAGAAAAAACAACUUGAACAGUAGUCAUAUAUUUCCUUCCUCCCUCGAUCAUCUUCGCCUUUCAUCUCGUGUCAUUGUGCAUGGACUCCAAACAUUUAGGCCGUAAUCCAGACACUAAAAAAAGCUGCAUAGGUAAGCAGCAGUAGGGUUUCAGCGUGACUUUGGAUAUUUUUAUACAGCGUGAACCAAGUGCAUUUUCUUUUCUUUUCUUUUCUUUUAAAGGUUAUGAGUACCAUUUGGAAGAAAGCAUCCAUGCGCGUAUAUAAAUGGAUUCGAUCGUGGUCAAAAAGUGGAGAAAAAUGAAUGGAAACUUACAGGAUGGGUCCAACUCGGUCUUCAUCAUUGCAAUUAAGAGAAAUUCGUUACGUCUCUCUGGUUCUGUCACAACUCUAAAAGACUUGAAAAAAAAAAAAACUCUAAAAGACUUGAAAAAAAAAAAAACUCUAAAAGACUUGAAACGCGACUUGAAAUGAAAAUGGAUGAUAAACAUUUUGCUACUCUUUUUUUUUUGGUUGGGAGGGAAGAAAAAAAAAAUUAGGGGAGCUCGAAUCCAAAAACAAACUGACUAAAAGACUCGGUCAGACGGAGCAGGUGGAUCCGGGGCCGCCGACAUCUUGAAUUGGAAAAUACACUAUACAUUAUUAUACAUUUUGAGAAAGAAUCAAGAUUGAUGGGGUAGUUAUGACUAUGACUUAGCUUUCAUUCAUUUAUUGACUUACCAAACAUAAAAAAGGUUGCUCUGUCUGCGUAUCCAGAGUAGCAAUCAGUAGGGCAUAAUUCCCAGGCAACCCUAUCCAGCCAUGGCGGUUGCAGUUGGCAUCAAUCAAUGCGUAUUAAUCCUUAAAAGAAUACAGCAGCAGUAAAGCACACACCAUCGACAUAGACUUCGCGCAUGGUCUUGUCGAUUCUGAGAUAUAAAGUUAAUUUAAUAGUAGUAGUAAGACUGAAGUGGGCUAUUCUCCGGUGUUUAGAUCGUUUAUAUACCUUGGUGUGCUGUGCUGCAAUUACUUCUAGUAUCCAAUCAUCAUAGUACCAAACAAAUUGCUUUCCGGCCAAUCAUAAAUAAAUUAUUAAACAACAAGCUCUUAUGGUCCAACUUUGCUUCUUUUUUUUUUCUUUUUUUUUUUUUAAAUAACAAGCUCAACUUUGCUUCAGUUAUUCAAGCCUUUCUGGUUCAAUUAUUAGCUCCCAUCAUGAUCAUGCGCAUGCCAUCUGAGAUCAAGGAUGACUUCAAACAUUUGUUCUUUGGUUUAAAAGGAGACCAACGAUGACUUCUCUUCGACCGGUCGGUCAUUCCACUUCGCCCGGUCACCCUCCUCAUCUCCAGAAAGCCCCCACUCCUCUUUGGCUACCUGGACUCCUACAAGCUGGACAUCUGAGAUCAUCUUGCAUUACAGCAAAGGAAGCAAGGCCGUCACAACUAAGAAUCCGAUCAAUUGAAACCCCGGGCAAUUUUGUUUCAACACAAAACAUCAACACAGGUCCCUAUGCCUCGAGCAACGUUUUCCAAGAGAAGCAAAACUUUCCCUCAGAGAGAGUGAGGGAGUCUAGCCUAGGAUUAGAGAAUUUCAUGUCAAUCAAAGUUCUGCCUUGUUACUCAAAGGCCGUCUGACGACGAAGGGCUGGAGCGUGCAGCACGUAGUACUUUGAUCAUAACCAUGCACUGUUGUAUUUUCAUUCUUUUCUCGUAUACGUAAUAAUCUGUUUCGUUCAAUUGUUUUUUCUUUUUUUAUGCUUCUUGGCAAUGCUGAAAGGUCGUUAGAAUGUGAAAUGCUAUUGUUAUUGUUUGAUUUGAUGGUCAUGAUUGUCAACCUGCUCAGCAUUUACAGUGUCAUCAGAAAGGUUGUGGUCGACUAUCUCCUUAACUAGGACCCCAUCGUCGGCCUUGUCUGUGUCGCCAUCAGCACCCCAUUUCUUCUUCAUAAUCUUAGGGAACAACCGGGUCACCUCUUUUGUCUCCGAUUCAUCAUCUUGGUUUACCCUUUCAAACCGGACGGCACUCACCUUUCUAGCAUUUCCCGCUAGUAUCUGCAGUGAGAUGCAAAUCACAACCCAUCUUUAACACUUGCAUAUGCAUAUUGGUAGCAGAAAAUGCAGAGCGAAUUGGCAAAUGUACCUCAAGCUUAAAUAUUUGACUCUUUUCAUGUUGAUCUGUCCGAUCAGAUUCUGCCUCUUUAUACUCAUCAUUCUCUUCUUCAUUUUCCCUUUCAAGCACCACUUUUAUAGUCUCACCAGUCCUUGGGAUGUAACCAAAUGCUUCGCAGACAAAACCAGACACCGUCUCAUACUGAUGACCCUGAAUUAUAAUUAUUAAAAAAGUUGGGCUGUAAGGCAGCAUUUGAUAAGAGAAUUACCAUCCUAAAGUCUGAAGAUUACUGUUCGAGUUACUCAUGAUGCUAGACAAUAAGCACAACAAUAUCCUUUUUAUAUUAAAUAAAAAAGAUACCUCAGGCAUUUUGAUAUUUAGAUCCUCAGAAAGAUGGUCAAUAGAGGUGUUCGCAUCCACAUCGUAUAUGCCUUGAGCCCGCAUUACAAUAUAACCAGUUUUUUUCUGAAUUUCCUCCUGCUAUAUGAUGGUAAACAUGAGACCAAAAAAAAAAAAAAAGCUAAAAAAUGAAGUGUAUGAUACAACACCAAUUUUUGUAUGAACUCAAUUAAUAAGAAAUGCCCCCAAGUCACACUACUACCAUAAGAUGUCAGCGAAACCGUAAGCUGCAUGCAAAGAACAACAUUCAAGUCAAUAAUACUUCCUAUGGCCCAAAGCAAAUGUACAUUGUCAAAAGUCAAUAAAUACCAUAACUCACAAAGAACUUCUCUAUUUUUCCCCAAACAUGGCUAGCCUGACGACAUGUAAUUGCAAGGUGUUCAAAUUAGGGGUGAUUUUGGUAUGUUAAUAACACCACUGCUAAUUAAGCACUGUUCUGGCCAAUAAAGAUGGACACAGCGAGUACAGAAUAUUCCUUCCCACUUUUUUCAUAUAGGCUACUAGUGUUCCUACAUGUUCCUAGUUAUCUAUUUAGAUUUAUUCUAGUUAACCUGAUGGAGAUUUUCCCACCAGUUAACUUUCAUAUCUCCCUUAGUGCCUGUGCCUUGUUAAACUACGACAUCCUAUUGUAAGUGUACAUUUAUUUAUCUGUAACUGCCCACUGAUCAUUUUCAUUAUCUGUUUUUCUUAGGAUAGCACAUUGAAACAGCUCAAGCUAAGAUCACACCCUGAACUGAGUAGGGGGAAGCAAAUUUAUCUCAUGAAAUGCACUUAGAUAUCAUAUAACCAUUUCCAACUUCAAUGCUGGUUUGAUAUAAAUGAUCUAAACAUACAAAUUUAGCUCUGAACUGAGUAGGGGAAGCAAAUUACCAUCAUGAAGACAUAUGCACAAAUUUUUUUAAAAAAAAUACUAUUAGUAAUAACAAUGAGCCUUACACUUGAAUCAUUUUCAUCAAAGAUCUCACCAACAAUUUCCUCAACCACAUCUUCAAGUGUUACUAACUGUUACAUUAAUUAGCACAAAGUAAACAUGAGGGAUCAGGCAAAAACUCAAUUGGAAAAAGGUAAGGACUCUUUAAUAGAAUGAAGUAACUGAUACAUACUCCAAUAGUUCCUCCAUACUCGUUAAGAACAACAGCCAUAUGUACUUUUCUGAUGCGGAACUCCCUAAGAAGAUUCCACACUGACAUCGAAUCUGCAACAAUUGAAAGUCAUAUUAUUCCAUUGCUCAGUAGUAGCACAAAAUUAAAUUGAAGGAACAACAAUUAAAACAUACUGUCUAGAAUAGAGAUGAGAACACUCGAUAAAUGUGGAUGCAAAUUCAAAUAGUAGUUACUAAGUUAGAAACUUUGUUUUCCAGUAUGAUGCAAAACAUCAAGUAAAUUAUAAAAGAUCAAUCUCAACAGCAUUCUGUAAACAAUGAUUUUCCUACAAUGUGAUUUCUGAAUACAGCAUACCUAUAAUCUUCAGCUCAUACACAUUACCAAUAAUGAGAUGUGAACCAAUUUAAAAAAUCAAUUGGGAAGGAGAAAAUCUUAAAAAAAAAAAAAAAACUGGGGCCUAUUUCCCUCCAUACAAUUUUCUGAAUGGGCACUGAUAUGUUUCUUUUUAAUUGCUCAUUCCAAAAACAGCAUGAAUCUGGAUUUACUUCAAUGUCUAUGUGGUGUUCAAUAUUCUUCAUAAUCAUCAAUCUUGGAAGAAGUAAUAAAAGAAUGAACUGCAAGCAAGGAGGCAGAUAAUACCAAAAGAACCUAGACAAACAUAAGACAUUCCAUGACUGCAACAUACAAAAUCAAUGAAACAUCAGGCACUCUUAAAUUACCAGGCACAAAGUAUGCAGGUUUAUGUGCCAUAUCUCCCACAACAGAACUGUCUAGUAGAUCCCCCUUCAAAAUCAAACAGAAUAAAAUUCUGCAGACUGUGAGAUAUUUUUGCAUGAUUAGAUAAAGAUAUUGCUUCCCUAAUUAAAAAAGGAAUAUCAUUUGCAGAAGUAGUUAGUCAACCUUUUGGACAAAAUCUAGAAGAUCCAUUGCAUAGGCAAUGCCAACUAUGUUGUCAAUACGCUGUUCAAAGACAGGCACUCUGCAAGCAGGGAUUCAUAUUUAUUAGCAGGCGGUUGAAAGGGUAAAAAGAGGCCAACUAGACAAAUGAAAAUGAAGCUUCAAGUACCUGGAGUACUGAUGAGUCACCCACAAAUCAUGAAAAUCAACAAGUGUUGCACUGGCAUCAAUUGCAACAACAUCAACAAGAGGUGUCAUCACCUCUCUUACAUGUGUAUCUUUUAUCUCUAACACAUUUUCAAUCAUGUCCUGAAAGAGUCAAAUCAAAUGCUGUUCUCAUAGGCAAAUUACAUUUUUCAACGGGAUGCAUCAAAACAGCUCAGAAAAUGAAAACAAAAUUAAGCAUUGGAUGAUCAACUGCUCUACUGUUUAGUUUAACAUGUAUAUCUUGAAAUUUGAUGUGUACAAUGCUCCUGUGAUUGUAAAAGUCUCAACCCAUGUUUUUAAAUAGCAGAGAAUUGCUCCUAUAAUUCAUAUGGCCUCUAUGCAUGAAACAUUAUGAAAAAAAGAAGUGAGUGCAUUACUAGCCUGUUCUUCCUCCUCAAUUGCCCCACUUAACUCUGCUCCACGCAACAUUAACUUCAAUUCAUCUUCAGUAACAUAAGGUUCACUAGUAGAUUAAGAAGAAGGCCAAAAAGUAGAGUCAAACGAGAAUCCAAUUUACAUCUGAAACAUGAAUAAUAGCAAUAAACAGUAACAAAAACUUGUAGUGAAAAUUAGUGGCACUGUUCAAGCAUAGUUUGAACAUUUUAUUGUGUACAGAUUGUUUGAAAGCCAUUCAAAGCAAGCAGAUUAAAAGAAUUAAACUGUUUGAGAGCUAUAGGGUACUGAAAGAGUCCUUAGAGUUACGAAUUAUACAUCAUAGGAUUCUUGGCACUAGAAAGCUUGAUGGCACAUGACCGUCCUCCUUAAAGGGGACUAAGUCCUAAUUUUCCUCAUCCUCAUUAGAACUCUUCUUUACUGGCGCUAGCCAGGCAAAAUUCAGAUAAAAAAAUAACCAAACAUAUACAAAUGAGAUAGUGUUGAAAGUCCAAGUAAAUUACUGAUGCAGUGUACUAAAUUGGCCAUCUCAUGGAAGUUAGAAAAUGUCAGAAAAUUUUGUAUGCUGAGACAUACCUUCUUCCCUUCAAACCAAGGAGUUUCAGCAUUCCCAUUGACAAAUAUGUGACCACUCUUCCUACAGGAUACAGUAUCAAGGAAAGCCACGCCACAGGCCUGACCUAGAUACAUUUACGAUACAUCUAGUCAAAUGCACUUGAUAGCAGAAUAUCUUCACACAUACAGAGAGAUACAGUAACGAGUUGGUAAUUUUACAAAAAGAAACAAUCUUCCAAUCCUUAUUAGCUUAAAAUUUUUACUAAAAACGAAACAAGUUUAACUUACCACAAACCUAGCAACAUCGGUGGCAUUAUGAACAGCUAUACUUUUUGGAGUAAUUUCAGUGAGGAGCAAAAUAGCCACCUGGCAACAUUGUGGACAAGGGGUUUAUAUCAGUACACCACAUAGAAGUCUUAUUACUCACAGCUAAAAUUGAUGUUAACCCAGGGGAAAGAAGGGAACGAGACGUCCUUGUCAUUGUACCAGAAGAAAUGCAAGAACCUCUUUAAUCCAACAAUCAAAAUUUUUAAUCUUAUGCAUUAUUUUCUUACUAAAAUUUUUAACUUCCUUUAUUGACGAUAAUUACAAAUUUCUGAACUCCAAUCACCAGCUCUAAUAAGGCGUACCCUUUUUCAACACUUCAAAUUCAUUCAUUAGUGACCAUUUAAUCUGCUGUAAUUCUCACAAGUUAAAACCUUUUCCAAUCCUAGCCCUGAUGUCCCAUUAAGACUGAUAGAAAAAAAUUUUACAUCAUAAUUACAAGAUAUGGAAAAUAAGAAAAUGAACAGAAGUGUAGUUUGAUGACAAGGAGACUAACAUGCAACUUUUGGCUCAACAUGCAAGGAAAAAAUAUCAAUGCAGGUCAAUUUACUGCCACCCAUAGCAAGUUUUCAAGCAUGCCUUAGGACACUAAAACUGCCAAGACUUUUAUCAAUAUUUUGUUUCAAGAGCAUCAGACAAUAAGAGAAAUUCCUACAAGAAAGACACAGGAACCACGACCCUGAGAUCAAUAUCUACAAUGGAAUACCGAAACAUCUUCUGAAACAGAAAAAUUUAUCAAAAAUUUUUUUACUGCAAACUGUGAGAUUCUCAGUUGACAAACUCAGAGAGAUCCAUACAUACCGUCAUUACUCCAGUCGCAGCACUCACACCAGCUUCACCAAAUAUUGCCGUUGCAGCCUCUGUAACCAAUGCCGUAGCUCCAAUAUUAACCACGCUGAGUACAUAAAUGAAAUCUACAAUAAGAGAUAAUGCUUGUCUUCAACUGGAGAAAACAGAAUGGUCAUAGUACAUUUACAAAAAGAGAGCAGUACGUUGUGCCAAUGAGGAUAGUCGUCAAAAACCGAGUAACAUCGCUACGGAGCAUUUUAAAAACACCAUUUUCAGAUUCUUUUUCAGCUAGCUCCCGCACCUGGCAUGUUUAAAGUCUCAAAUACUAUCUUGUAGAGAAAUUAAGCAGGGAACAGAAAAGGUAAGAGAUACAUCAUCUAUAUAAUUUGCAAUAGUAUUGCAAUCAAUACCCAAAUAAAACUCUUAAGAAAAGAAGUAACUACUAGCAUUUAUAAGCCUGAAAGUCAGUGUUCUCCACAUAUGUUACAUUUUUUUUUUAAAAUUUUUUUAUAAUUACACAAUAGAUCUAUACUGGAAGGAUUAGUUAUUUGUUUCAAUAACUCUUGGAUAAUGGAACAUUAGCGAAAACAAUAUCGCGCUCCCAAAAUCUGAAAUAGCUUAAAUUCGAUGCUACAAGGUGGAAAAAGGUUGAGAUGUGAUGAUGGCGUUGUACACCAAUAUCUCGAGUGUAAGAUGCAAAGUCUGUAUAUUCAUGCCAAGGUACUGUGAUAGCAAGGCCACAAUUUGCAAUAUUUCCUAUAGAUGCCUUGCAAUGGCAACACGCAAUUAUGCUCAUGAAUUUUCAGAAGGAGAGGUAACUUUUUAUCAGUGAAUCUCAAUUGCCAAUUUCAAAUGACAUCUUAACAUUUUGUGGGAAGCCCCAAAAUAAUGGCUUUGACUAAUAGGAACUUCAAUGAAAUGCUAAACAUCAUCAUAUUCAAACAUGUGAAAAAUAGGCCUGCAAGAAGGAUAAAUGCUGAAGAAGACUCUUAGACGCAGGAACUUUAUAUAGGGAUUACAAAGCAAAAUAUCUGCCAUACAGAGUUGCCAGAUAAAGUUACUCAGAAGAGUAUUCUUGAGCUAACCCAAGCCCUAAACUACAUCUUCAUCCAAAUCAUUAUGAACAAUUGAAAAAUUCAAACUUUUUUGACCAGUUAGUUUUGCAAACUCUAUUUUGCAGUGGAAUACAAACUAUGACCCCUUUUCUGCGACACUGAAAUUGGACGCAGUUUCACGAUAAAUAUCAGUAAUAGUCGCUUACACUCAUCAUAAUUUGAUACUAUUAUUGUAUAAAAGUUUCGUUUACUAACAGGGUUCUAACUUCACCGUUCAGGAUAAAACAGGAAACAGAACCAACAGAUGCAAUAAAGAAACCAACAUUUGCUAAUCAUAUUUCAGCGUUUACAGUGGAGCAGAAAGUUGAUACCUUCCAAGGCCAAAGAGUAGUUAUAGAGGUCUCAGCCAUGGAGAAAAACGCCGAUAAACCCAACAACGCAGCCAGAACCAGACCUUGCUCCUUAAAAACCCAAAGAACCUGCAAAACCUUAGGCCAAGAACUCCUCAAAGCCAUCCCACUCCUCUCAAAAACGCCAUUCCAUCCCGCAUUCAGUACUCCCUCCACCGCCACCGCUUUGCGACACGACAACACCAUAAACCCACAAAUAAACACUGCCAAAACCAAUCCUCUCCUCAAUGAAACCUCCACAAAACCUGAAUUCGUCCCUGCCACUGCCGUCCCCGAAGAUUUUUCCACAUUCUCCCCCUCGUAAUCUCUACUAAUUGCUAACGAACCACUAAAAGCUUCAAUUUUCGGACUAAUUCUAAUCCGUUGGGAAUUGAAUAGAUUUCUCGAACUGGGGGAUGAAGUGGAGUUGAUAAUUGUGGGGCGGUAAGUGUAAACUCCGUUUCUUGAGGGAAAUUUGGGGAAAAAUUUGAAAGUCAAAGUUCGGAAAUUGCGAAAUGGGGGUUUGGGAACGGUUACAGAUGUGGAGCGACCGAGGAGUGAAGCUUCUACCACUGCAUCCAUUUUUUUCCCUUUUCUGUUUGUUUGUAAAAUACAAAUACUAAUUCCAAAAGAAGGAAAAAAAUGAAGCUAAUUUAAAGGAGGAAGAAGAGGAGCUAGGGUUUUUUGCGGAGUUUGAAGCGGUGAAAUCGAACAGCUGAGGAGGUCAUCGCGGUGGUGGUGGUGGUUCUGUUCUUCUUUUCAACCAAACAUGGAAGGAUUUUUUAUUUUAUUUUUUCCUACAGUACAGGCAACUGGGUGGCGCGGACUUUGGAGCGAAAUGACGCCAAAUGCCCCUGCAACUUGCAUUUUCGUAUCUUUGUCCUUUUCUACAAAUAGUCGAUAGGCGGACCGCAGACCUCUCCCAUUAAAAGAAAAAUGGGCUGAGAUUCAUUGUUGUAGUAGGGGUAUUUAGAAGCUCAGGCCCACCUUCGUUCUGCCCUCCAAACGAAGACCGUCCCACGAUUUCCAGUUGGGCUCGUGUUUAUGAGCUGGGAUUCUGCAGGUCUCCUCCUUACCCUUAUAAUUCCUCAAAAAAUUGUCAUUUUGUGUGACUUCUUUAAGAUCCAUAUGGAUGCAUGAUCUGAUGAUAGUUUAGUUUCCGUCGAUUCUCCGUAAUCCCGUUGGGUAACCUCUUAGUAUAAGUUAGCGUAGAACUAGGACUAGAAGUAGAGGGUGACAAUAGACAAAAAAAAAAAAAAAAAAUUCCUCGACAAAAGUUACAUACUAGUAGCAAGGUACUAGCAAACAGUUUUUUUUUUUUCAUAUUCUAGUAUAGUAAAUUACUGUCUACUCUUUUGGUGGGAUUCCGGCAAGUAAUUGUUCUACUUAUAUAUUUAAAAUUUACUCGUACAACAAAGUAAUAAUAGCAUACAUCAGAUCAAAUAAAAUAAUAGUACUUGCAUCACAAACACAUUUUCAAUUUCCGGGAGUGUUUGGAUACCUCAAUUAUUUCAAAUAAUAUGUCACUUGCAUCACAAACACAUUUUCCAACCUACCUUUUUAUAUUCCCAAUCACCUUUUUAUCUCACAUAUAUUACAUCACAAAAAUUGCUACAGUAAUUAUUCCAAAUAAUAUUUCAAAUAAUACACUAUCCAAACGUAUAUGCCAAACUGCAAAGCUCCGUUACUGCCCCAAAACCACAUUUAGAAUUAUUCCAGAAAGGAACAGCUACUGGGAAUUGGAAUCAAAUACAGGUCAUUUUUCCUCCUCACUGUCAAAGCAAAGCCCUCACUCAUGUCCAGUUGCUCUGGCUUCUGUUCAUUUGGGAGUUUCCAGUCAAAAUGAUACAGUAGCUGUGCAAGUUGUAGUUCAAUACUAGCUAAAGCAAAUGAUAUGCCUGGACAUAUCCUUCUUCCAGCUCCAAAAGGCAUGUACUUGAAAUCAUUCCCAUGAUAAUCACUUGGACAAUCAAGGAAUCUCUCCGGCUUGAAUUUCUCAGCUUCAGUCCAGUAUUUGGAAUCCCUGCCAAGAGCCCAGGCGUUGAUAAUAACUCUUGUAUUUACAGGUAUGACAUAACCAUUAACUUCACAUUGUUCACUGUUUUCCCUUGGAAGCAACAGUGGUGCUGAGGGAUGUAGCCUCAGGGUUUCUUUUACCACUGCUUGCAAGUAUUCUAGUUCAUGAAGCCUUGAUUCAUCAACAUUUCUUCUUCUGUCAUAAACUUCUCUUACCUCGUCUUGUGCCCUUUUCAUGAUGUCUGGAUUUUUCAACAUUUCUGACAUGACCCAUUCCACGGUUGUGGAUGAUGUCUCGCUUCCAGCACUGAAAAUGUCCUGAAGAUUGGUGGACAAGGCAGAGGAUAGUUUUUAGAUUAAUCUCACUGCAUUUUCGAGCUAGAUAAGAAGAGCAAAGCUCAGUUGAAUUCCAUUAGUGUAAUAUGCAACACCAGAAAGUGGUAAAGUAGAAUCAUCUAUCCUUGCUUUCAAGAUGAAAAGCUCUCUUUGAACUACAGUAAAGCAAUUUAAAGAAUGAAAAUGAUUGCCAAUUUGAUACGUAAAUGUUUCACUCACCAUGACGACUGAUUUGAUGCUGCUAUUGGUUAGUGAGGUUCCAAAUUCACCAGAUUUUUGGAUGUUAAGAAGAACAUCCACUAGAUCCUCUUCUGCUUUUUCAUCUGUACCUCUUGUCUUUAAGCUUUUCUCUUUAUGGUCGUUGACAAUGUUUUCAAGUAUUGCAUCGAUGUUCUUGUGUAACCUCCUGAGCUUGGGAUUCAAUUGACUAAUGACUUGAAUGAUUUCAACCGAAGGAUACAUGUCAGCUAUGGUGAAGCCUGCAGCGAUUAUUAUAGCUUCCUUUACGAGAGAGAUGAAGUCUUCUUGGUAUUUGCUCUUCUUGCCAAAGGCAGCCCGUGCGGUAAUCCCAUAUGUUAAAGAUAAAAUCUUGCUGCUAAGAUUGAUUGUUGAACCCCUGUUGGAGGAAAUUGAUUCAAUUAGAUUCAUUACCUCCUCUUCUCUAAUGGAUCGGAAAGUCUGAACGCGCUGGGGACUUAAAAGUUCCAUCUUGCAGAUUCUACGCAGCUGUCUCCAGUAAUUACCAAAUGGAGAAAAGGCAAUGUCAGUACAAUCAUAAUUGAGUAUCCUGCCCGAUAGAAGCCGAGGCCUAUUGGCAAAAAUGAUAUCAUGUGUUUUCAUGAACUCUUCGGCAACUUCUGGUGAAGACACGAUGAGAGUGGAAACCUGACCAAGCUUAAGGUGCAUCAGCGGUCCAUAUUGGUUGGCCAAGUCUCUCAGGAUAUGAUGCAUUUGUGAGCCACCAAGAUGGUGCAAGUUUCCUAUAAUCGGCAGUGGCUUCGGCCCUGGAGGCAAUUUCAGAGCAGACUCCUUGCCUUUGUACGGAUUGAGAAGCUUUACUAGCAUGAACGAAAAGAGGAGGAAUAUGCAGACGGUGGUGAGGAACUCCAUGAGGACCGGGGAGAAAGUUGAUCUGUUGUAUUUUGCAGGAAAUCAAAUGGCCCAAGAGAGUGAGCAGAUCAUGGUUGCCAAUAUUGACUUUGUAGAUUUCGCUUUCAAAGGGCAAAAUUCGACGCCAGAUGAUUAAGGUUGAUUCCAAUGAAGGCAAAACAGUCGUUUUACCGUUUUACUAAAUUCUCACAGGGCGGCAGAACCUCAAUGGAUAUUGUUGAGAUAUGCCAACUUUUCCUACAGAUUUUAUCAGAUUGGGUUUGAUAUCAAAAUAAUUUAGUUAUUAGAAAAUAAGGAUAUUUGUUAACUAAAAAUCAUGUUGGUUUGUUAACAAAUAUAUUAGCUAAGAUUUGCUAGUAGUAGAAGAUUAUAUUUUGUUGAGAUUUUUAGGAUAAUUGUUAGUUGGAUAUUUUGCUAGUUUGAUUCAUGUAAUCGUUAUAAAUAGUGAGUUGAUGAAUGUAGAACAUAAACUCAUUUUUUAUUUUCAAUACAAGUCUCUUAUAAGUUUUUUUUUUGCAACACUAAGGUGUUGUUUCUUAGUUUAUACCCAAAAAAAUAACAAAGUGGUAUCAAGAGCUUAAAUCUUAAAGGCCUGUUUCUUUGAGAGUGAGUGAAUCUGGUGAGAAUUCCUUUUUCACACUUAAGCCCUCAACAUCAAAAUGCCAGGAAACAAUUUCUUGUCAAAUCCUUCAAGUUUCAAUUGGUGAGAAUUACCAAAUCUGGGCUGUCAAAAUGAAGUCCUAUUUGGAUGCUAAUGAUCUUUGGGAUGUGAUAGAUACAGAUCCUGUUCCUGAAUUGCCAGAAGAUCCAACUAUUGCAGAGAUGAGAGUCCAUAGAGAUGCAGUCAAAAGGAGAUCAAAAGCCAUGACUUGCAUUCAUUCAGCAGUUUCCAAUGCAGUAUUCACAAAAAUUAUGACUUGUGAAAUUGCAAAAGAAGCUUGGGAUGCUCUCAAAAUGGCUUUUUAAGGCAAUGACAGAACAAGACAGAUGCAAGUUUUGAACCUUAUGAGAGAAUUUGAACUCCUUAGGAUGAAAACAAAGAAAACAUUAAAGACUAUUCUGACAGACUCUUAAAUGUUGUGAACAAAAUCAGAUUGAUUGGAGAACAACUUCCAGAUAGCAGAGUUGUGGAGAAAGUCUUGGUGAGUUUACCAGAAAGGUUUGAAUCCAAGAUUUCCUCUCUUGAAGAUUCAAGAGAUUUCUCUCGGAUGACCUUGCCAGAAUUGAUCAAUGCUCUAGAGGCACAAGAACAAAGACGAGCCAUAAGAACUGAAGAAGUCAUUGAAGGUGCUUUUCAAGCAAUAAACAAGGAUCAAAUUCGACAAGGUGAAAGAAAUGGUCAAGAAAAAAAAGCAAAGAUGAGAAGAAAAAUGACAGAAAUCCUCUGUGUCCACACUGUAAGAAAAUCUCACAUCUUUCAAUAUAUUGUUGGUUUAGACCUGACAUUCAAUGUAGGUUUUGUAAGCAAAUGGGACAUAUGGAGAGAGUUUACAAAAAUAAAGGAAAAAGAGAAUAUCACGCUUAGAUGGUUGAUGAACAAGAUGAGAAGCAACUUUUCAUGGUCACGUGUUUUGUAAGCAAUAAUUUCAAUACUGAAACUUGGCUAAUAGACAGUGGUUGCACUCAUCACAUGGCAAAUGAUGAAUCUGUAUUUAGAAAACUUGAUAAAUCGCAAAUCUCCAAAGUCAGAAUUGGAAAUGGAGAUUAUAUUGAGGUGAAAGGCAAAGGUAGUGUUGCUAUUGAUUAUGGUUCAGGUACCAAAAUUAUUUCUAAUGUUUUGUAUGUACCUGAAAUUAAUCAAAAUCUAUUAAGUGUUAGACAGUUAUUGGAGAAGAAUUAUUCUGUCAUCUUCAAAAAUAGGACUUGUGUUAUACAUGAUCCAGUUGGGCAUGAACUUUUCUCAGUGAAAAUGAAAGACAAAAAUUUUGCUUUGAAUUUGUCAGAAAUUGACAAUUCUAAGGUGCAGUAUAGUGAACCAAAAAAUUCAGAUGUUGCUAAAAUUCAGGAGGAGAUCACUGAUGAAGCAAUUGAAGGAGGUUACAUUGUGAAAAUUCAUGAAAUACUACCCAAGGAUGAUGGUGGUGACAUAGCUGAUAAAAGGCCAUACAAAAAUUUGAAGGAUUGUUUUAUAUCUCUCAUAGUAAUCAUUUUUUGUAUUGUGAAUUUCUUCUUCAGGUUCAUCUAUUACAUAUGGGAGUUCCACUUUCAAGUUGCAAAGAAAUCAUUUGAAUACAUCGAAAAAUUUGGUAUUGAUUUUGAAGUUUGGCUCAAGAAACAUUGCAAGACUGAUGGCCAGAUUGCAGACAUUUUUAUGAAAGUCUUGUCCAAAACAAGGUUCAAAGAUUUGAGAAGGCAAUUGAAAAUUUGCAGCAAAAGUGGCAAGGAGGAGUGUUGAGAUAUGCCAACUUUUCCUAUAGAUUUUAUCAGAUUGGAUUUGAUAUCAAAAUAAUUUAGUUAUUAGAAAAUAAGGAUAUUUGUUAAUCAAAGAUCAUGUUGGUUUGUUAACAAAUAUAUUAGCUAAGAUUUGCUAGUAGUAGAAGAUUAUAUUUUGUUGAGAUUUUUAGAAUAAUUGUUAGUUGGAUAUUUUGCUAGUUUGUUUCAUGUAAUCACUAUAAAUAGUGAGUUGAUGAAUGUAGAACAUAAGCUCAUUUUCUACCUUCAAUACAAGUCUCUUAUAAGUUUUUUUUUUUGCAACACUAAAGUAUUGUUUCUUAGUUUAUGCCCUAAAAAAUCAACAGAUAUCCAAUCCAUUUACCAGCUUAUACUUUUUCAAGAGGGCUUGGGACACUUGUCCAUCUGUUUGAUGUGCAUUUGUGGGAUUGGCUGUAUUGAAUGUGGGGACUGACAAUCUUAUCUACUUGUGAUUGAUCUUGUGGCUUGUGCAGAGCCAUGUAAUUUCCAUCCUGAAGCAGAUGAUGAAAAACUGUAAUUCAUGGGCGAGAAAAAACCUCUAUCCAAUUCAAAAUGGCAAAACCUGGACAGCAGUAAUUUUUUUUUUCCAUCCCAGUAUACAAAGUUUGCUGAACUUUGUUAAGUAGGAUAAUAAACUGCAUAUAACUUCAAUCGACUUGUAAAUUGUAAUAGGUCUGUAAGUCCGAAUCUUCAAAGAUGGAUAACGGAUUUGAAUCAUAAAAGUGUAUCAAUGGCAGAGUCUCAUGAGAUUGAUCUGUUGAAAUUAAACAAUCUUGGCCUGGUAAAUGGACCAAGUUCUUAUUGUUAGAAUAUUUAUGUGGCCUACAUGACCACAUAUAAUAUUAUUAAGAUAACUCGCAUUAAUUAGAAGGAUAAAUAACCAUAUGAAUAAAUACGAAUAACCAAUUACAGAACUCUAAUGAGAAUAGAUGACUGGAGAAAGUAGGGAGUUCCAUAUUCAUUGUAUGUGGACAUAUUAUAUGAUAUUUAUUAUGGUACUUUAUCUGAUAAUUACAGUAAUUUUAAACUGUAUCUUAUCAUUAUGAUUAACAAAUAAAGUACGAUAAGAAUAUUAUAAUUUAUCAUUAUCCCAUGAUGGGAGGGAUUGUGACUCUAUAAAUGUUCUAGGGCUCCUGGUCCCUCUCACCACUCUGACAUACGUUAUUUUUACCCAUCACUAAAAUAACAUAAUAUGAGAGUAGGUGAGGGAAGACCAGGUAGGGAAGGUACCUUGUAAUUAGAAGUCACAUGGUUCUUCCACAAGGGUGUCGGACCUAGAAGCCGUAUUAAAUGAUGGGCACUUGACAUCGGUUAAUUGUGGAGUCGCGACGAUCAUAAUGUAUGUCUCAAAUUACUAUUUAUGAUUUACAAGUCUAAACUACGAUCCUACUUUUAUGUCUAACACUUAUGCCAAUAAAGAACCAGUUUUGUAGGGAACUGCAACCAACUGCAGAUCAUUUUUUCGCCUGACAGUCAAACCAAAGGCCUCGGCCAUGUCUAGCUGCUCAUUCUUCAGUUUUCCUGGAAGUUUCCAGUCAAAAUGAUAGAGCAAUUGUGCAAGUAGCAGCUCCAUUGAUGUUAGACCAAGUGCUAUGCCUGGACAUAUCCUUCUUCCAGCGCCAAAUGGGAUAUAUUUGAGAUCUUUCCCCUGGUAAUCGAUUGUAGAAUGGAGAAACCUCUCAGGCUUGAAUUUCUCAGCAUCAGUCCAGUGCCUGGGAUCCCUGCUAAUUGCCCAAGCAUUGAUGAUAACUCUGGUUUUUGCAGGUAUUUCAAAUCCAUUAAUGUUGCAUUGCUCGCUACUUUCCCUUGGGAGUAACAGUGGAACAGGGGGAUGUAGUCUAAAAGUUUCUUUGAUCACUGCUUGCAGGUACUUUAAUUCAUGAAGUCCUGACUCCUGGACAUUUCUGCUUCCAUCAAAAGCUUUUCUCACUUCUUCUUGUGCCUUUGUCAUCACCCCUGGAUUUUUUAACAUUUCCGACAUAGCCCACUCCACUACUGUAGAUGACGUCUCAUUCCCAGCACUGAAAAUGUCCUGAAACAAGCAUGGUUCAAAGUCAUGGUCGCAGUCACAGUCGCGGCUCGGAACGUUCCACAUCGGUUUCGGCAUAUCGGUAGCGGUUUUGGUGAGACGCAAAAUUUAAAAUAUUUAAUAUUCUAAAAUUUAUUAAUAAUAUAAAAAAGUAUGCUAAACAAAAAUAAUAAAAAAUAGCAAAAGAAAUGGCCAAGUCAAUCCGUCAUGGUGUAACUCGGCCGAUUUCUCGUAUUGACUCGGGAUAACUCAGAGUGACUCGGUGUGACUCGGCCGAGUCAAUCCGUCGCGGUGACGUCUCGGCCGAUUUCUCAGCGAGUCAAGUAUCUCGGUAUCGUUUCGUCACGAUAUCGUAUCGAUAGGGACCGAGACGGUGACGACUCGGCCGAGUCGUCUCGGUCUCGGCCGAGACUUCGAACCAUGGAAACAAGGCAAUCAACUCUUAGUGCAAUUCAUAAAGGACGUAAGAUCAGGGUUUUGGCAACAGCAAUUAUGCUUUGAAAGCUAAAAUGCAAGAUUCAGAUGAACCAAAAGGGGCAUUUAUUUGUAAUGCCAGCUUUUGAGCUUGGUCUUUAAUCCUUCUUCCAAAACUCAAUUGCCUUGCAAUUCUAUUAUUUUUAUAACACUUCUAGAUGAUAUUAGUUAUAUUUCCCCUACUAAAAGGCUUAUUUUUUUAACCACAUGACGACUAACCUGAAUCACACUUUUCUUUUCAUCUGAAUUAUACAUGAAAAUGGCAAGCAUGUUCUUCUCAGCAUGGUUCGAAAACUCGGCCGAGACCGAGACGACUCGGCUGAGUCGUCACCGUCUCGGUCUAGUCCGAGACGAGAUCGCGAUGAAACGAUACCGAGAUACGUGACUCGCCGAGACAUCACCGUAAAGGGUUGAAACGGCCGAGUCUCACCGAAUCACUCCAAGUCAUCCCGAGUCAACUCGAAUUUUUGUUAUUUUUACUAAUUUUUUAAUUAUUUUUGUUUAUCAUAUUUUUUACAAUUUUUAAAAUAUUAAAUAUUUCAAAAAUUCGCGUCUCGCCGAGACCGCGACCGAUAUACAGAGACCGAUGUGGAACGGUCCAGGCCGCGACCACAACCGCGACCGCGACUUUGAACCAUGCUUCUCAGCAAGCUGGUAGCUAGCGCAGUAAACAAAUUGCAAAAAUUCAUUACUUUCUUUCUGAAUGAAAAUUGAUAAAUAUCACUCACUCACCAGUAUGACUGCUUUUAUAUUGUUCUUGGUCAAGGGGAUCCCAGAAUCACCGGAUUUUUGGGCGUUUAUAAGGACAUCAACCAGAUCUUCCUUUGUUGCUCCAUCCGUAGGAACUAUUUGUCGACUUUUCUGCGCAUGGUCAUCAACUAUGUUUUCAAGGAUUUUGUCAAGAGCCCUGUGCAUUUUAUUCAACUUAGGACUCAUUUCACUUGUCACUUGAAUGAUUUUGACUGAAGGAUACACAUCCGCUGCAUUAAAACCUGAAUUCAUCUUUAAAGCUACCUCCAUGAGUGAGAUGAAUUCUUCUUGGUACUUGCUCUUCUUGCCGAAAGCAACUCUUGCAACAAGGCCAUACGUAAACGAGAAGAUUUUUCUGCUAAUAUUAACUGUUGAUCCCUGAUUUGAGGAAAUAUCUCUGAUGAAAUUGAGGACCUCCUCUUCUCUAAUUGGCCGAAAACUCAGGACACAUUUCCUGCUUAAGAGCUCCAUGACACAGAUUUUGCGCAGCUGUCUCCAGUAUUCCCCAAAUGGAGCAAAUGCAAUGUUAGUGCAAUCGUAAUUGAAAAUCCUCACGCUUAUCAGUUGAGGCCUGUUGGCAAAUUGGAGAUCAUGUGUUUUCAUGAACUCUUCAGCAGCCUCUGGAGAAGUUACCACCAGUGUGGAUACUUCACCUAGCUUUAGGUGCAUCAGUGGCCCAUACCUGAUGGCCAAAUCUCUUAGGGUUCGAUGUGCUAGAGAGCCAAAGAGCUGAUGCAAGUUUCCAAUAAUUGGAAGUGGUUUUGGGCCUGGAGGCAUCUUCAGAUCUGAUUUCAUUACCGAUCUUUUCAGAAGCUUGAUUAGCAUGAAGAGAAAGAUAAAGAAGGCAAUGACGGUGAUGAACUCCAUGAGGGUUGAAACUUGAAACGACAAAGUGCUAACAAUGGUUUGAAUAAAAAACUAGAAAUGGUUUUUUGAAUGCUUCACAUCCAAUUAACCGGAAGAAAAGAUUGAAAGAUUGCAACUACUUUUUUUUUUCAAGUGACUGGAGGAAGUAAUAUCUUAUAGUCAUAUACGGUUUAUCUGGGAACGAAGACAAAAUUGUCUGUAGUUUAUGAGGCAGCUUACGUAGGAGAUGAUCCGCGUACCUAAUUGUUUAUUUUGAUUUGUCUGAUAUGAUUUGGUUUUAAGCCAUUGAUCUAAGUGACCCGCUAUAAAUUACUUGUCUAUGGAUUCAACUUUUCUGUGCUUAGCUGCUGCACUGAAAAACGGAUCCAAGGCACUAAAAUCUUUUGACCACAAGCAUAAAUAUCAAUUCAUGAGUGCAACUGGUGCUUAUAUGAGAGCUUUAGGUAAUUAGCUAAUGAAAUAUUCAUCAACUUUAAGACGUUAAGGUUAAUUCCAGAUAAUCUUAUUUCCUUGCAAGCAAUUAUUCAACCCGCAGAUGAAAAACAUGAAACAUCAGUUUGCUGAGUCUACUACAAGAGGAGGAGCAAGAAAAAGAUGAUCUUUGCUUCUUACUGUGAUCCCUGAGGCUUCUGUCAUGUCCAACUCUUCCUGUCCAUUUCUCUGUGUAAACUCCAAUCGAAAUGAUACAGUAAUUUUGCAAGCGGGAGCUCCAUAUUUAUCAGAGCAAAUUGUGUAUCCCUAGGCAAAUUCUUCUUCCAGUACCAGAAGGGAUAUACACAAAAUUUGUUCCAAAUGCUACUCAAAUGCGCUCACAUUUUGAUGAAAUCAUUUUACUUGAGUUGCAUUGUGCAAAAUGUUUAGAAUUUGAAUCGCCAUUCUUGUGUAGCACGAGUUACAAUACAGAAAAUGAAAAACAUAAACAAAAUACUAGUUGAGAUCAGCAAAAUUGAAAUACCAUUUCAUCCAUGACAAUCAGAGAUAUCUGAUAUACUGUCCGUGGCCAAACUUGCAAUCUUAUCAGGCCUUGGUACAUGAAUUGGAGAACUUAGGUUCUCUCUUAGAAAUAUAAGACAGAGAGGAGUUACGUUCCCUGGGACUAAUCAAACAAAGACCUAGAUGGGAACAAUGUAAAAAACAUUCUACAGUAAGGGUUGGCGCUAGAGAACCAUCUU